CUACGGGGGGCACCAGUGAGGAAUAUUGCACAAUGGGGGGAACCCUGAUGCAGCAACGCCGCGUGGAGGAUGACGCAUUUCGGUGUGUAAACUCUUUUUAUAUGUCAAGAAAAUGACGGUAGCAUAUGAAUAAGCACCGGCUAACUCCGUGCCAGCAGCCGCAGUAAUACGGAGGGUGCAAGCGUUACUCGGAAUCACUGGGCGUAAAGGACGCGUAGGCGGGUUGGAAAGUCAGGUGUGAAAUCCUACAGCUUAACUGUAGAACUGCACUUGAAACUUCUAAUCUAGAGUAUGGGAGGGGGAGAUGGAAUUAGUGGUGUAGGGGUAAAAUCCGUAGAUAUCACUAGGAAUACCUAAAGCGAAGGCGAUCUCCUGGAACAUUACUGACGCUAAGGCGUGAAAGCGUGGGGAGCAAACAGGAUUAGAUACCCCCGUAGUC
rnacentral:rRNA from 1 species